CUUGCAUUUCCCCCCAAAUGAGCUCCUCUUCUUCCUGUACUUCACUCCUGUAUCGGUGAGCAAAACAACAACACAGAAGAGAUUUCUGCAACUAUAUCUGAUAACAAAGAGGACAUCCUUUCAAGGACGCUCUCUUUGCAAAAGUGAAUUCAACAUACUUUAGUCUUGAAGCUUGAAAGAAAAGCUUGAAGAAUCAAGGUACAUUUUGAGAUUUUCAACUUAUCUCAUUCAUCUCACUCAAGAGUCUCAGAGAGCCAGUCUUUCUACUGCUUCAAAGUGUUGUCUGGAACACGAUGAGAACCCUGUAUGACUUGUCUGAUCUGAGAGAGGUCAAGUUUGGUCAGCCACAUCCCAGACAUGGCCUGAAUUUGUUGUGGUGGUUUGCUCAUGACUGUGUUCGGAUUGACCUCAAUCAACGUAUGAGUGCACGCUGCAACCCUGCAAACGGAGAGUUUGGUUUCCACCGAUUCCAUAAUGCUUGCAGACUUCUUCCUUACACUAACCUACAAUACUAUGAGGUGGGCAACCUGAACACCCCUGGUUCACUGCCUGAUUAUGUCACUAGAUAUUACACAGGAUGGUCAGACAGCAGUAACACAGAUCGCAUCAUAGUUUCUUUUAACUCAAGGUGGAACAGAUUUGAGAGUAUUUAUGUAACGCAGCACUCCGAUCUGACAGACUUUGACCAGAAUCACACUUACUGCAUUAGCAUUAAUCUUCUGAAGAGAAUUCGAAUGUUGAGGCGUGAACACUUCCGCAGAGAAAUGAUGAAUAUACAAAUGCAUCCUUAUCAGAUGUAUUCCCAGCAAAAUUACAACAUACACUCACAGUCUACAUCUUCACUUCAGUCACUGCAGAAUCAAAGGUCACAACAAUCUACCGGGAAUUUCUGUGAUUGCAGCUCCAAGCUGAUUUGCGCACUGAUUUCCGCUCUGUUGAUCUGGUUUGUGUUUGUCUUCAUUCUUUUCAAAAUGGCAAACACAGUUUAAUCAACUGCUGUAUGUUUUUUCCCAGCAAAUUUUGGAUUGACAAUCUGAAUACAUGUAAAUGCUUGACUUUAUAUAUUUACAAUAUUGAGCAUCACAUAUUUCUUUUGAAUGGUCACGGUAAUGAUGUAAACAAAUAUGAAACAAUUAAAGGUACCAAAUGUAAAACUUCAAGAUUACAUAAUAAAAUCACUAUGAAAUUG